rnacentral:rRNA from 1 species
AACAGGAUUAGAUACCCUGGUAGUCCAUGCCGUAAACGAUGAAUGCUAGGUGUUGGAGGGUUUCCGCCCUUCAGUGCCGCAGCUAACGCAUUAAGCAUUCCGCCUGGGGAGUACGACCGCAAGGUUGAAACUCAAAGGAAUUGACGGGGGCCCGCACAAGCGGUGGAGCAUGUGGUUUAAUUCGAAGCAACGCGAAGAACCUUACCAGGUCUUGACAUCUUUUGAUCACCUGAGAGAUCAGGUUUCCCCUUCGGGGGCAAAAUGACAGGUGGUGCAUGGUUGUCGUCAGCUCGUGUCGUGAGAUGUUGGGUUAAGUCCCGCAACGAGCGCAACCCUUAUGACUAGUUGCCAGCAUUUAGUUGGGCACUCUAGUAAGACUGCCGGUGACAAACCGGAGGAAGGUGGGGAUGACGUCAAAUCAUCAUGCCCCUUAUGACCUGGGCUACACACGUGCUACAAUGGAUGGUACAACGAGUUGCGAGACCGCGAGGUCAAGCUAAUCUCUUAAAGCCAUUCUCAGUUCGGACUGUAGGCUGCAACUCGCCUACACGAAGUCGGAAUCGCUAGUAAUCGCGGAUCAGCACGCCGCGGUGAAUACGUUCCCGGGCCUUGUACACACCGCCCGUCACACCAUGAGAGUUUGUAACACCCGAAGCCGGUGGCGUAACCCUUUUAGGGAGCGAGCCGUCUAAGGUGGGACAAAUGAUUAGGGUGAAGUCGUAACAAGGUAACC